rnacentral:rRNA from 1 species
AGUGAACGCUGGCGGCAGGCCUAACACAUGCAAGUCGAGCGGCAGCGCGGGGGCAACCCUGGCGGCGAGCGGCGGACGGGUGAGGAAUUCGUCGGAAUCUGCCUUUUUGUGGGGGAUAACGUAGGGAAACUUACGCUAAUACCGCAUACGUCCUACGGGUGAAAGUGGGUGACCGCAAGGCCUCACGCAGAAAGAUGAGCCGACGACCGAUUAGCUAGUUGGUGGGGUAAAGGCCCACCAAGGCGACGAUCGGUAGCUGGUCUGAGAGGAUGAUCAGCCACACUGGGACUGAGACACGGCCCAGACUCCUACGGGAGGCAGCAGUGGGGAAUAUUGGACAAAGGGCGCAAGCCUGAUCCAGCCAUGCCGCGUGUGUGAAGAAGGCCUUCGGGUUGUAAAGCACUUUUGUCCGGAAAGAAAUCCCUGGAGCUAAUACCUUCGGGGGAUGACGGUACCGGAAGAAUAAGCACCGGCUAACUUCGUG